GACGAACGCUGGCGGCGUGCUUAACACAUGCAAGUCGAACGGAAAGGCCCUGCUUUUGUGGGGUGCUCGAGUGGCGAACGGGUGAGUAACACGUGAGUAACCUGCCCUUGACUUUGGGAUAACUUCAGGAAACUGGGGCUAAUACCGGAUAGGAGCUCCUGCUGCAUGGUGGGGGUUGGAAAGUUUCGGCGGUUGGGGAUGGACUCGCGGCUUAUCAGCUUGUUGGUGGGGUAGUGGCUUACCAAGGCUUUGACGGGUAGCCGGCCUGAGAGGGUGACCGGCAACAUGGGGACUGAGAGACGGCCCAGACGCCUACGGGAGGCAGCAGUGGGGAAUAUUGCACAAUGGGCGGAAGCCUGAUGCAGCAACGCCGCGUGCGGGAUGACGGCCUUCGGGUUGUAAACCGCUUUCGCAUGUGACGAAGCGUGAGUGACGGUAAUGGGUAAAGAAGCACCGGCUAACUACGUG
rnacentral:rRNA from 1 species